rnacentral:rRNA from 1 species
GGAUGCAACGAAGCUUUUUACGAGCACGNCAAUGGAAAAGUGGGUUCUGGGUCGGGCCCGGGUCUUGAACCCAUUUAUUUUUUCACGGUUUGACCCUCGGGAUCAGGUUAGGAGUUACCCGGCUGAACUUAAAGCAUAUUCAAAUAAGCGGAGGAAAAAGGAAACCCAACAGGGGAUUAACCCUAGUAAACGGGCGAGUGAAGCGGUAACAGCCUCAAAAUUUGAAAAUCCUGGCCUUGACCGGUCCCGAGUUGUAAUUUGUAGAGGAUGUUUCGGGCAAGGCUCCUGGUUUAAAUUUCUUGGAACAGAAUGUCAUAGAGGGUGAGAGUNCCCGUCUAGAACCAGGGGCCGCGUCCAUGUGAAACUCCUUCGACGAGUCGAGUUGUUUGGGAAUGCAGCUCAAAAUGGGUGGUAAAUUUCAUCUAAAGCUAAAUAUUGGCCAGAGACCGAUAGCGCACAAGUAGAGUGAUCGAAAGAUGAAAAGUACUUUGAAAAGAGAGUUAAACAGUAUGUGAAAUUGUUGAAAGGGAAGCGCUUGCAACCAGACUUGCGUGUGACGGUUCCCCCGGUCUUCUGACCGGGCUACUCCGUCAUGUCCAGGCCAGCAUCGGUUCGGGUGGUUGGUUAAAGGCCCCGGGAAUGUAUCUACCUCCGGGUCGACUUAUAGCCCGGGGUGUAAUGCGGCCUACCUGGACCGAGGAACGCGCUUUU